rnacentral:rRNA from 1 species
UCCUUGAGGAGUGGCUUCCGGAGCUAACGCGUUAAGUCGACCGCCUGGGGAGUACGGCCGCAAGGUUAAAACUCAAAUGAAUUGACGGGGGCCCGCACAAGCGGUGGAGCAUGUGGUUUAAUUCGAUGCAACGCGAAGAACCUUACCUACUCUUGACAUCCAGAGAACUUAGCAGAGAUGCUUUGGUGCCUUCGGGAACUCUGAGACAGGUGCUGCAUGGCUGUCGUCAGCUCGUGUUGUGAAAUGUUGGGUUAAGUCCCGCAACGAGCGCAACCCUUAUCCUUUGUUGCCAGCGAUUCGGUCGGGAACUCAAAGGAGACUGCCAGUGAUAAACUGGAGGAAGGUGGGGAUGACGUCAAGUCAUCAUGGCCCUUACGAGUAGGGCUACACACGUGCUACAAUGGCAUAUACAAAGAGAAGCGACCUCGCGAGAGCAAGCGGACCUCAUAAAGUAUGUCGUAGUCCGGAUUGGAGUCUGCAACUCGACUCCAUGAAGUCGGAAUCGCUAGUAAUCGUGGAUCAGAAUGCCACGGUGAAUACGUUCCCGGGCCUUGUACACACCGCCCGUCACACCAUGGGAGUGGGUUGCAAAAGAAGUAGGUAGCUUAACCUUCGGGAGGGCGCUUACCACUUUGUGAUUCAUGACUGGGGUGAAGUC